rnacentral:rRNA from 1 species
GUUAGGAAUAUUGGACAAUGGGCGCAAGCCUGAUCCAGCCAUGCCGCGUGAGUGAUGAAGGCCUUCGGGUUGUAAAGCUCUUUAGCCGAUGAUUAUAAUGAUUGUAGUCGGAAAAUAAGCCCCGGCUAACUUCGUGCCAGCAGCCGCGGUAAUACGAAGGGGGCGAGCGUUAUUCGGAAUCACUGGGCGUAAAGCGUGCGUAGGCGGCUUUGCAAGUUGGGAGUGAAAGCCCAGGGCUCAACCCUGGAAUUGCUCUCAAAACUGCAAGGCUCGAAUUCGGGAGAGGAUAGCGGAAUUGUCAGUGUAGCAGUGAAAUGCGUAGAUAUUGACAGGAACACCAGUGGCGUAAGCGGCUAUCUGGACCGAUAUUGACGCUGAGGCACGAAAGCGUGGGGAUCAAACAGGAUUAGAAACCCUUGUAGUCC